UGGCCGGUGAUGAAAACUUCUGAUAAAAACACCAUCUUUCGGGACUGAUUGGCCCACUGUGUGGCCAUGCUGCAUAUUCUGCAAUACUGAGGCCA